rnacentral:rRNA from 1 species
AUUGAACGCUGGCGGCAGGCUUAACACAUGCAAGUCGAGCGGAGAUGAGGUGCUUGCACCUUAUCUUAGCGGCGGACGGGUGAGUAAUGCUUAGGAAUCUGCCUAUUAGUGGGGGACAACAUUCCGAAAGGAAUGCUAAUACCGCAUACGUCCUACGGGAGAAAGCAGGGGAUCUUCGGACCUUGCGCUAAUAGAUGAGCCUAAGUCGGAUUAGCUAGUUGGUGGGGUAAAGGCCUACCAAGGCGACGAUCUGUAGCGGGUCUGAGAGGAUGAUCCGCCAAACUGGGACUGAGACACAGCCCAGACUCCUACGGGAGGCAGCAGUGGGGAAUAUUGGACAAUGGGGGGAACCCUGAUCCAGCCAUGCCGCGUGUGUGAAGAAGGCCUUAUGGUUGUAAAGCACUUUAAGCGAGGAGGAGGCUCUUUUGGUUAAUACCCGAGAUGAGUGGACGUUACUCGCAGAAUAAGCACCGGCUAACUCUGUGCCAGCAGCCGCCGUAA